AUGCUAGCAAUGGACCAGCACCAUCAGCAGGAGGAGUCGUGUGUUCCACCGGGAUUCAGAUUCCACCCCACAGAGGAGGAGCUGGUGGGGUACUACCUGGCCAGGAAGGUGGCCGCCCAAACGAUCGACCUCGACAUCAUCCAGGAGGUUGAUCUCUAUAGGAUCGAGCCAUGGGACCUCCAAGAGAGGUGCAGCGGCGCGGGAGGGCGGGGAGCGCGUCAGGCGGCGGAGGAUGAGCAGUCAUCGUCAGAGUGGUAUUUCUUCAGCUUCAAGGACCGCAAGUACCCCAGCGGCACGCGCACCAACCGUGCCACGGCGGCCGGGUUCUGGAAGGCAACCGGGAGGGACAAGCCGGUGACGUCGUCGCGGAGCCGCGGCGUGAUCGGCAUGAGGAAGACGCUCGUAUUCUACAGGGGCCGUGCACCCAACGGUAGGAAAACCGACUGGAUCAUCCACGAGUACCGCCUCCAGACAAACGAGCACGCGCCCACUCAGGAGGAAGGUUGGGUGGUGUGCCGGGCGUUCCAGAAGCCGGCGCCAAACCAGAGGCCGUCCUACAUCUUCCCGGCAUACGCUGCCGCUCCGGGGUACGACGCGCGGCCAUGGCUACACGGCCAAGGCGGCGACAUCCAUUACCUGCAGAGCACCGCAGGCGCUGCCGGUGCCGGCGGCCUCGGAUUCCCUGGCCAGGGCAUCCAGUACUCUGACGACGUGCUGGAGUCUAAGCAGAGUCUCUUCGGCAACAUCCCGCAGCUCAUCCAGAGCCCGCCGACGACCACCGCCGUUGCCGGUGGCGGCGACGCCGGCUACGACAUCGUCCAGCAGGGACAGGCGGCGGCCGGCAUCGACUGGAACUUCCUGGACAGCCUGCUGUCCUCGUCUCAUCUGCACAUAGAGCAGUGA
rnacentral:rRNA from 1 species